CACUCACAAACAUACAAACGUGUAUAUUUCUUCAUUUUUUAUUCUCUAUGCUUUUAGUGUACAGAAUGCUGUGGUAUCUAACUAGAGGACCGGCUAUUACUCAUUUGAUUGAUUCUUACGAGAAACUAAAAUAGGUAAAGGCCCUCUCAUACAAAAGUGAGAAAAUGUAUCCCUUAGACAACCCUCAUGUCCACGAUGUAUAAAGGAGCAUUACUAUACAUGUCCACGAUGAAGUUCCCCAGCUACAUUUUAGACAAGAGACAGGAAAACUAGAAGGAAGGAAAUAGAAUUGUCAACAAAAUGGCGCCAAACCAUAACUGUAAUUCACUCUUAAAGGACUGGAUAACUAUUAAUCUGAUUAGAACUUACCGUUAUUACAGAUACAAAGAAUUGAAGUAGCCCUAUGAUUCCCUAAGAAAGAAGAAUGCAUAAGUGCAAAAUAAUUUCUGUACGGCUGUAUGAGCUACCAACAGUACCCAGAUUUGGCACUAGAGCAAGAGAAAAUUCUCAUUUUCUGCUUUUUCAGAAUAUGACAAAGUGGAGAGAAGAUGCAAAAGCAAGUGGUGUAAUGCCAAUUGAUAGAAUCACAAGCCGAAGCAACAGAAGUGAAGGAUUUGAGUUCCA
rnacentral:lncRNA from 1 species